CUGGGAAGAUCCGAAACCAGGAAGAUCAAGUAUUUUCUAAAGACUGGAUUUCCCCCUCUCUACCUAUUCAUCUGCCAUCCGAGGAUAACACUCCAUUCAUCUAAUGUGAUGGACUCUACUCCAGAUAAGCUUAUAGCCACAGUGAUGGAACUGAAUUAAAUACACACCUUCAGAAAAGAAGCUACUUGUUUGGCGGAGAUGCCUUCGACUUUCCCAAGGUCCUCUACCUGAGAAAAGGAGGAAGGAGAAAUGUGUAGGUUACACAAAGUUGCAAAGUCAUGGAGAUACUUAAUUAUUAAAUUUGUAUACCACCCCUCA